GUGCAAUGGCAUAAGCCAGCUUGACUGCGAGCGUGACGGCGCGAGCAGGUGCGAAAGCAGGUCAUAGUGAUCCGGUGGUUCUGAAUGGAAGGGCCAUCGCUCAACGGAUAAAAGGUACUCCGGGGAUAACAGGCUGAUACCGCCCAAGAGUUCAUAUCGACGGCGGUGUUUGGCACCUCGAUGUCGGCUCAUCACAUCCUGGGGCUGAAGUAGGUCCCAAGGGUAUGGCUGUUCGCCAUUUAAAGUGGUACGCGAGCUGGGUUUAGAACGUCGUGAGACAGUUCGGUCCCUAUCUGCCGUGGGCGCUGGAGAACUGAGGGGGGCUGCUCCUAGUACGAGAGGACCGGAGUGGACGCAUCACUGGUGUUCGGGUUGUCAUGCCAAUGGCACUGCCCGGUAGCUAAAUGCGGAAGAGAUAAGUGCUGAAAGCAUCUAAGCACGAAACUUGCCCCGAGAUGAGUUCUCCC
rnacentral:rRNA from 1 species